AUGGCGCCUCCUCUAGCCUCUUCGCCUCAUGUCGUACACUCAGUUCCGAUAGCAGCGCUUCCCGGUCCCCCACCGCGACCGGGUCCCCUGCAGCGUGCCCUGAGCCUGUUCUGCACAGGCCCCGCCUCCCGAGGGAGCAGGGGCGGAGCCUCCUCCUGCCCCGCCCUGCGGACGUGUGUGCCUCUGCUGGGCUGCACGCCUAGCCACGCUGGAGGCCACGGAGAGUCCGUGGGUCGAGACCUCCACCAUACCCUGCUCCGAGGGCCCGUCCUGUCCUGUCCUGUCCACAUGGCUCCCUCUGUGGCCUCAGGACGCUCUCGGCUGGUUCUGCGGCUUCCCUGUAUGAAAGACGGCCGUGGUUGGCUAUUCUACUUGGCGUCCAGAUCCCUCACCCGUCUGUGGAUGGAGACAGAGACUGAAGGACCAGGAACUCCUACAAUACCCUGGGAAAUGGAGCCUGCCCCACUCCAAUAGCCAGCAGAGGCAGGUGAGAGAAACUGAAUAUGCAGAUUCUUAGAAACUAAAUAUGCAGGAAUUCUUAGCUACAAAGACAAGUAGGUGGGCAAGAGAACAUUUGAGAAAACCCAACACUGUGAGGAAAAGACAUCCAACAUAGCAUCACAGAAUGACAGCCUGAGGAAACCCAGAGAAGUUAGAGAAAAGAUAACAGCUAAGACGUCUACCUUCUGAGCGGUAACAGAGGCAACUUCAUCCAGAAAAAACUAAUCAUUCACAGUAGAAACUGAAGACUGACUUCAAAAACUCCAUAGAUGGGAUGAAAGCAACAUAAACACGGCUAAGAGUGGGAGUGACCCCAAGGAACUCUAAAGCUUAUCCUGAAAGGACAAAGGGACGAUGGAUAUGGGUUACAAAUCAGGAGACCUGGAGGACAGAGCCGGAAGUUCCAAGUCUCUGGAAUAGGAGCUCCAAGAGGAAAGAAAGGGCAAAAUGAUAAAAUAGGGGUGAGGGAGAGGGGAGUCCAAGGCAGAAGAGAGAAUGCUAGAAAAUGACAGCAUUUCCUCCAGCAUUCCGAGGGCAACAUUGUGAUCUGGAUUCCUAUACCCAGCCAAACUAGCAUGUGUGUAUGAACACAAACCAAAGGCACUUCUAAGAAUCCAAAAGUAAGAGAGAAAGAGUACAACAAGUAAUGCAGAGGGAAAUAAAGUCAUUACUUAGGAGUUCA
rnacentral:lncRNA from 1 species